AGAUCUCAGAAUGCAGUUUUGGAGAAGAUAAUUGCUGUUAAUGCAGCCACCACAUUUCUAGACAUUUGUGAGGUCAUUGUGGAUACCAAGACAGAGUUUGAAGCCAACUGGAUACAUUCUGGAGAAUCUUUCCAUGGACUCUAUUUAUGGGCUACCCAUUCAACCUAUUUAUAUUGCUCAGAAAGUAGAACUAUCCUACAGAUGGAUAUGAAGAGCUACUAGAAACUGGUUGAUGUGAAAUUUAUUUGGUGAAUUCUGGUGCUGAGAGGAAGCUUGUGCAGAGAGCAUUUGAUGCAUACUAGCUGUGUGAUGAUUGAUAAGUUAUUUAAACUCUUUACUGCCAAGGAAACUAUGCAAGACCCUAAAUCCCAAAUGAGUUGUUGAUCUGCAUUGGUGAAAGAAGAUUCCACAUUGGGAGAUCUGCACACUUAUGAAAUUCCAGAAUCAAACAGCAGAAAUGGAGUUGGAAGAUGCUUAUGGUAAAGAAACAAGCUGAGGAGAUGCUAUUAGAGAGGCCCUGGAAAGAGAAAUUGGCAGAAAAGUAGAUCUUUACAAGCUUCCCUCAAUCCUUGAAGGCUGGAUGAAGACACUGAAAAGGGAAGAGGCAUGCCCAGGAUGAUGCAGCAAAUCAGUGGCAGAGUGGAUUUUUGAACUCAUGAUUCUUAAUCUACGUUCUCAUCUCUAUUCUGUUAUUUACUUACUGCUUUUUACCAAAUACCUAAAAAAAUAAUAAAAAAGAAAGAGUAACAAUCCUAUGGGUGAAAGCCGUUAGCAUUUUUCAGAAUCCAAUUUUGGAAUUCUGUUGGAGUUUGGGAUGCAAAAUUCUAUAGUCUGUUAUAACUAAUAGGAUAUUUAU